GUGGGGAAUCUUAGACAAUGGGCGCAAGCCUGAUCUAGCCAUGCCGCGUGAGCGAUGAAGGCCUUAGGGUUGUAAAGCUCUUUCGUGGGGGAAGAUAAUGACUGUACCCCAAGAAGAAGCCCCGGCUAACUCCGUGCCAGCAGCCGCGUUAAUACGGAGGGGGCUAGCGUUGUUCGGAAUUACUGGGCGUAAAGCGCACGUAGGCGGACUGGAAAGUCAGGGGUGAAAUCACGGGGCUCAACCCCUGAACUGCCUUUGAAACUCCCAGUCUUGAGUUCGAGAGAGGUGAGUGGAAUUCCGAGUGUAGAGGUGAAAUUCGUAGAUAUUCGGAGGAACACCAGUGGCGAAGGCGGCUCACUGGCUCGAUACUGACGCUGAGGUGCGAAAGCGUGGGGAGCAAACAGGAUUAGAUACCCCAGUAGUCC
rnacentral:rRNA from 1 species